rnacentral:rRNA from 1 species
AAUCAUAAUGGCCGAAAAUCUAAGGUUUCCUGGGGAAGGUUCGUCCGCCCAGGGUUAGUCGGGAGCUAAGGCGAGGCCGCGAGGCGUAGUCGAUGCACAUACGGUUGAAAUUCCGUAACCACCUUAUCGAAUGAAAGCUGACACUUGGAAAUAGCGGGACCCGGAGAUUGGUAGAUCCGGGCGUAAGGGACCGAAUACGAGUAGGGAAGUCCGCGAUGUUCCGAGGCGAGAAAAGGCGAAGGUAGGGUGCCCGUACCGCAAACCGACACAGGUAGAUGAGGAGAGAAUCCUAAGGCCAACGGGAGAAGGGUUGUUAAGGAACUCGGCAAAUUGACCCCGUAACUUCGGAAGAAGGGGAGCCUCGAAAGAGGCCGCAGUGAAUAGGCCCAAGCAACUGUUUACCAAAAACACAGGUCUAUGCUAAAUCGAAAGAUGACGUAUAUGGGCUGACGCCUGCCCGGUGCUGGAAGGUUAAGAGGAGAUGUCAGGCAACGAAGCAUUGAAUCGAAGCCCCAGUAAACGGCGGCCGUAACUAUAACGGUCCUAAGGUAGCGAAAUUCCUUGUCAGGUAAGUUCUGACCCGCACGAAUGGCGUAACGAUUUGGGCGCUGUCUCAACAGCCCACCCGGCGAAAUUGUUGUACUGGUGAAGAAGCCAGUUACCCGCAACUAGACGGAAAGACCCCAUGGAGCUUUACUGCAGCUUAAUACUGGAAUUCGGUAAUUCAUGUACAGGAUAGGUGGGAGACUGGGAACUACUGUCGUCAGGCAGUAGGGAGUCGCCCUUGGGAUACCACUCUUGAAUUGCUGGGUUUCUAACCUGCGGCCGUGAAUCCGGUCGGGGGACACUGUUAGGCAGACAGUUUGACUGGGGCGGUCGCCUCCUAAAAGGUAACGGAGGCGCUCAAAGGUUGGCUCAGCACGGACGGAAAUCGUGCAAUGAGUGUAAACGUAUAAGCCAGCCUAACUGCGAGAGUGACGGCUCGAGCAGUAACGAAAGUUGGAGUUAGUGAUCCGGUGGUAUGUGAGUGGAAAUGCCAUCGCUCAACGGAUAAAAGCUACCCUGGGGAUAACAGGCUGAUCUCCCCCAAGCGUCCACAGCGACGGGGAGGUUUGGCACCUCGAUGUCGGCUCGUCACAUCCUGGGGCUGUACUCGGUCCCAAGGGUUCGGCUGUUCGCCGAUUAAAGUGGCACGCGAGCUGGGUUCAGAACGUCGUGAGACAGUUCGGUCCCUAUCUGUUGCGGGCGUAAGAGAUUUGAAGGGGGCUGUCCUUAGUACGAGAGGACCGGGAUGGACGCACCUCUGGUGCACCUGUUGUCGUGCCAACGGCAUAGCAGGGUAGCUACGUGCGGACGAGAUAAACGCUGAAAGCAUCUAAGCGUGAAACUUUCCCUAAGAUAAGAUCUCUCAUCCUUUAUGGAGUAAGGCACGAUGUAGACUAUAUCGUAGAUAGGCCGGAGGUGGAAGUGCAGUAAUGUAUGGAGCUGACCGGUACUAAUAAGCCGAGGGCUUGACCU